rnacentral:rRNA from 1 species
CCAGACUCCUACGGGAGGCAGCAGUGGGGAAUAUUGCACAAUGGGGGAAACCCUGAUGCAGCGACGCCGCGUGAGUGAAGAAGUAAUUCGUUAUGUAAAGCCCUAUCGGCAGGGAAGAAAAGCGAACAGGUUCGCCUGGACGGUACCUGACUAAGAAGCCCCGGCUAACUACGUGCCAGCAGCCGCGGUAAUACGUAGGGGGCAAGCGUUAUCCGGAUUCACUGGGUGUAAAGGGAGCGUAGACGGCGGCGCAAGUCUGGAGUGAAAGCCCGGGGCCCAACCCCGGGACUGCUCUGGAAACUGCGGCGCUGGAGUACGGGAGGGGCAGGCGGAAUUCCUGGUGUAGCGGUGAAAUGCGUAGAUAUCAGGAGGAACACCGGUGGCGAAGGCGGCCUGCUGGACGGAUACUGACGCUGAGGCCCGAAAGCGUGGGGAGCGAACAGGAUUAGAUACCCCUGUAACA